rnacentral:sRNA from 1 species
GCCUCAAGAAAAUUCCUUCAUAAAAAAAUAAUUGCAGAAGAAAAAAUUCACUUGGUUAGACAUGUCCACGGAAUGUACUUUGAAAACUUUGUUUUAGUUUUUGUAGACAUCCCAUU